AUGUCAAGUAUGGCCCUAGGCCUGCAUGGUAAGUCAUCAAAAAUAAGUAAACAUACUGUGUAGGCAUAACAGGAAAAUUCUCUGUGACAGCUUUAAAAACUAUUGUUUAUGUUCAUGCAUAGUGAAUGUUGAUGUCAAUCAGGGGAAUAGGAAUCUUUAUUCACAUUUGUAUUUAAGAACCAGCAAACCAAUUUGCAUAUACCCAAAGGGAUGGUUAAAUGUGGGAAAUUUCAGACAAAUUAGAAGAGUAUCAACAAGCACAACUAAAAAAAGGGUAAGCC
rnacentral:misc_RNA from 1 species